rnacentral:miRNA from 1 species
GGUUAUAUCUAGGAGCAUGUUU